CUCCUACGGGAGGCAGCAGUGGGGAAUUUUUGGACAAUGGGGGCAACCCUGAUCCAGCAAUGCCGCGUGUGUGAAGAAGGCCUUCGGGUUGUAAAGCACUUUUGUCAGGAACGAAACGGUUUAGGCUAAUAUCCUGAGCUAAUGACGGUACCUGAAGAAUAAGCACCGGCUAACUACGUGCCAGCAGCCGUGGUAAUUC
rnacentral:rRNA from 1 species